GUUGUAUGAAUAAGGAGUCCCAGUAUGGAUUUACCCCAGGGAAUGGACAGAUGCCCAGGGGCUUGGAAGAAACUAUUACUUUUUAUGAAGUUGAAGAAGGGGAUGAGACUGCUUAUCCAACUUUACCUAAUCAUGGAGGUCCCUCUACAAUGGUUCCUGCUACUUCAGCAUACUGUGUUGGAAGGCGGGGACAUAGCUCAGGCAAACAGACUUUGAAUUUAGAGGAGGGCAAUGGCCAGAGUGAAAAUGGGGGAUAUCAUGAAGAAUAUCUUUAUCGUGCAGUCUCUUCAGGACAGAAAGUCAUGUUCUAUGUCUCCUCAGGACACAGUUACCUCAUACAACUACCCCCAGAAGGUGAUGGGAAAUAUUGCAGCAGUUGCAGCUUCCUGUGCCAAUAAUGUUCCAGCUCCAGUCUUAUCUAACGGUGCAGCAGCUAAUCAAGCUAUUAGUACCACUUCAGUUUCCUCACAGAAUGCUAUACAGCCUCUAUUUGUAUCUCCACCUACACACGGCAAGCCAG
rnacentral:sRNA from 1 species